CAGCUAGUUGGUAAGGUAAUGGCUUACCAAGGCGACGAUCAGUAUCCGGCCUGAGAGGGCGCACGGACACACUGGAACUGAAACACGGUCCAGACUCCUACGGGAGGCAGCAGUGGGGAAUUUUGCGCAAUGGGGGAAACCCUGACGCAGCAACGCCGCGUGGAGGAUGAAGGUCUUUGGAUUGUAAACUCCUUUCGAUCGGGACGAUUAUGACGGUACCGGAAGAAGAAGCACCGGCUAACUCUGUGCCAGCAGCCGCGGUAAUACAGAGGGUGCAAGCGUUGUUCGGAAUUAUUGGGUGUAAAGGGUUCGUAGGCGGUGUGGCAAGUUGGGAGUGAAAUCUCUGGGCUCAACCCAGAGGCUGCUUCCAAAACUGCUGUGCUUGAGUGUGGGAGAGGCGCGUGGAAUUGCAGGUGUAGCGGUGAAAUGCGUAGAUAUCUGCAGGAACACCCGUGGCGAAAGCGGCGCGCUGGACCACAACUGACGCUGAGGAACGAAAGCUAGGGGAGCAAACAGGAUUAGAUACCCUGGUAGUCCUAGCCCUAAACGAUCAGGACUUGGGGUGCCGCACGUUCGUGCGUCGUCCCGGAGCUAACGCGUUAAGUCCUGCACCUGGGGAGUACGGUCGCAAGACUGAAACUCAAAGGAAAUGACGGA
rnacentral:rRNA from 1 species